GGACCCGCACAAGCGGUGGAGCAUGUGGUUUAAUUCGACGAUAAACGAAGAACCUCACCAAGGUUUGACAUCUGGUUGCAUGUCCUGGAAACAGGAAGGCCUUCGAGGGUACCAGACAGAUGCUGCAUGGUUGCCGUCAGUUCGUGUCGUGAGAUGUACCGUUAAGUCGGGAAACGAACGCAACCCUUAUCCUAUGUUUUACAUGUCAUAGGAGACUGCCCGUUUUAAAUGGGAGGAAGGUGGGAUGACGUCAAAUCAGCAUGGUUCUUACACCUUGGGCUACACACGUGCUACAAUGGAAGGUACAAAGGGACGCCAAAUCGCGAGAUGGAGCAAAUCCCAAAAAACCUUUCUCAGUUCGGAUUGAAGUCUGCAAUUCGACUUCAUGAAGUUGGAAUCGCUAGUAAUCGUAGGUCAGCUAUACUACGGUGAAUACGUUCUCGGGUCUU
rnacentral:rRNA from 1 species